UACGUAGGGUGCGAGCGUUAAUCGGAAUUACUGGGCGUAAAGCGUGCGCAGGCGGUUCGCUGUGUCCUGUGUGAAAGCCCCGGGCUCAACCUGGGAACUGCAUUUGUGACUGUAGAGCUGGAGUACGGUAGAGGGGGAUGGAAUUCCGCGUGUAGCAGUGAAAUGCGUAGAUAUGCGGAGGAACACCGAUGGCGAAGGCAAUCCCCCUGGACCUGUACUGACG
rnacentral:rRNA from 1 species